rnacentral:rRNA from 1 species
GAGUUGAAAGUUCCGGCGGUUAGAGAUGGACAUGCGUUGUAUUAGCUAGAUGGUGAGGUAAACGGCUCACCAUGGCGACGAUACAUAGGGGGACUGAGAGGUUAACCCCCCACACUGGUACUGAGACACGGACCAGACUCCUACGGGAGGCAGCAGUGAGGAAUAUUGGUCAAUGGACGCAAGUCUGAACCAGCCAUGCCGCGUGCAGGAUGACGGCUCUAUGAGUUGUAAACUGCUUUUGUACAAGGGUAACCCCGAUACGUGUAUCGGGCUGAAAGUACUGUACGAAUAAGGAUCGGCUAACUCCGUG